GACGAACGCUGGCGGCGUGCUUAACACAUGCAAGUCGAACGAAGAGCGAUGGAAGCUUGCUUCUAUCAAUCUUAGUGGCGAACGGGUGAGUAACGCGUAAUCAACCUGCCCUUCAGAGGGGGACAACAGUUGGAAACGACUGCUAAUACCGCAUACGAUCUAAACUCGGCAUCGAGGAUAGAUGAACGGUGGCCUCUACAUGUAAGCUAUCACUGCAGGAGGGGAUUGCGUCUGAUUAGCUAGUUGGCGGGGUAACGGCCCACCAAGGCGAUGAACAGUAGCCGGACUGAGAGGAGGAACGGCCACACUGGGACUGGAACACGGCCCAGAACACUACGGGAGGGAGCAGGGGGGAACCUUCCGCAAUGGACGGAAGUCUGACGGAGCAACGCCGCGUGAGGGAUGACGGCCUUCGGGUUGUAAAGGUCUGUUAAUCGGGACGAAAGGCCUUCUUGCGAAUAGUGAGAAGGAUUGACGGUACCGGAAUAGAAAGCCACGGCUAACUACGUG
rnacentral:rRNA from 1 species